GAUGAACGCUGGCGGCAUGCCUAAUACAUGCAAGUCGAACGAGAGGAAGGAAAGCUUGCUUUUCUGAAUCUAGUGGCGAACGGGUGAGUAACACGUAGGUAACCUGCCCAUGUGCCCGGGAUAACUUCUGGAAACGGAUGCUAAAACCGGAUAGGUAGCAGACAAGCAUUUGACUGCUAUUAAAGUGGCUAAGGCCAUGAACAUGGAUGGACCUGCGGUGCAUUAGCUAGUUGGUGAGGUAACGGCCCACCAAGGCGACGAUGCAUAGCCGGCCUGAGAGGGGGGACGGCAACAUUGGGACUGAGACACGGCCCAAACUCCUACGGGAGGCAGCAGUAGGGAAUUUUCGUCAAUGGGGGGAACCCUGAACGAGCAAUGCCGCGUGAGUGAGGAAGGUCUUCGGAUCGUAAAGCUCUGUUGUAAGAGAAAAACGACAUUCAUAGGGAAUGAUGAGUGAGUGAUGGUAUCUUACCAGAAAGUCACGGCUAACUACGUGCCAGCCGCCGCAGUAAAAC
rnacentral:rRNA from 1 species